UACGUAGGGCGCAAGCGUUGUCCGGAAUUAUUGGGCGUAAAGAGCUCGUAGGCGGCUUGUCACGUCGGUUGUGAAAGCCCGGGGCUUAACCCCGGGUCUGCAGUCGAUACGGGCAGGCUAGAGUGUGGUAGGGGAGAUCGGAAUUCCUGGUGUAGCGGUGAAAUGCGCAGAUAUCUGGAGGAACACCGGUGGCGAAGGCGGCAUCCUGGACCGGCAUUGACGCUGAGGCGCGAAAGCGUGGGGAGCAAACAGG
rnacentral:rRNA from 1 species